GAAAUUACAGCCACAUUCACGUGCUGUUUCAAAGGCAACUGCAGCCAAAUAAGCUUCUGGUUAUAUUGAGAAAGGAAGGGAAUUCUUUCAGAGAUGGAAGGCUGAUAUGCUGCAUGGGCUCCAGACUUCAUACAAACAAACAGAGUACAGGAAACACAAGCUUAAAAGACACUUUUGAAGAUACAAAACAUCUGGCAGGAAACCGUUGUUGUGGUGUCAGCAGUCUGCUGUGUUUUCCUCCUCCUGGUCUGCCACUCCUCCUGUCUGUCUCACCUCACACCUGGCCCUCAUCUACAAUCAUGCUCACCUGGUCUUCAUCCCCAAUCAACCCCCUUCAUAAACCCUUGGAUUCCCUGCUGUCGGCGCCAGAUCGUACUACGCACUACCGUGUUACCCGGAUCACUCACUCCAGCUCGCCCACCUCGCUCUUCCCCCGGCUCCCUCAUCCACUACCUGCUUCCCACCUUGUUCAAUAAGCCUCUUUUUAUCCCUUCAACAUCGUCUCUUUCUGCUCUUGGGUUCAGCAUCGUCUACCAUAACAGAACGAUCUGGCCAAGAUGGACCAAGCGGACCUUUACAGCGUCCACGGAGCUCUCACCGCCCAAGAUAUUCGGAUUGCCGAGUACAGCCAAGCCCUCCGGGAAUCUAUGGAAGCCUUAAAGAACCUCGCUACCCGAGUCACUCAGAUGGGCGCACAAUUGGACGCAUUGGUUCCCCACACACCAGAACCCCCACUGCCUACGACUCCUCCGCCUGCCCCCACUAUUCCGACACACCUGCCACGAGCCCAUGAGCCUCUAAUUCCUGCGCCUGAGCGCUACGCUGGAGACAUGGGUUUUCAGCCAACAACCCCUCACCUACCCCACUGAAAAGGCCAAGAUGGCUUACAUUGUGGGGUCACUUAAGGGUAAUGCCUUAGCAUGGGCCUCGGCAUUAUGGGACAGUGAUUCCCCAGUCAAUGAUAAUUUUGAUCUUUUUGUUGCGGAAAUGAGGAAGGUUUUUGAUCACCCUGUAGAAGGAGGGGACGCCGCCAAACGUCUUAUUUCCUUAUGUCAGGGCUCCCGCAGUGUAGCCGAGUUCUCCGUAGAAUUCAGGACCUAUGCAGCCAGGUCGGGCUGGAACGACAAAGCACUACGUGGGCUUUUUCUUUCCGGUCUCAGUGAGUCCAUCAAGGACGAGCUCGCUACUAGGGAGGAGGCUGACACACUUGAUGAACUGAUCUCCUUUUCCAUCCGGCUGGAUAAUCGCCUACGCGAGCGGCGUAGGGAGAGGACAGUGAGUUCCGUACCCCCGGCACUCUCUACUCCCUGUUCUCCAAACUUCCCAUGCAGCCCAUGCAGCUGGGGCGCACUCGUCUCACCCAAGCUGAGCGGCUCCAUCGGAUUAGGACCGGAGUGUGUUUGUACGAUGCUCUACCCGGACAUCUCGUCUCCACCUGUCCGUCACUGCCAAAAGACAAGGCCCAGCAGUGAGGCUCGGGGCCCUGCUGAGCCACACCUCUUCUGUCCCCGUUCCUCUCUGUUCACGCUCUCUGCUGGAUGCCACUCUUCUGUCCCUCGGACGUCCCUUCCCGGUAUCGGCCCUUGUGGACUCGGGAGCGGAUGAAAACUUCAUUGACGCCGGUUUCGCAUCCCAGGUUGGCAUCAUUUUAGAACAAUUACCCUCUCCCCUAAAUGCUAACGCCUUAGAUGGCCGCCACCUGGCCCUUAUUACUCAUCGUACUAAGCCCCUUGAAUUAAUUGUUUCCGGUAAUCACCAUGAAACACUUCAGUUUCAUGUCAUCCUGUCUCCCCUUAAUCCCCUGUUCCUGGGUCACCCCUGGCUGAAGCGGCACAACCCCCAUUUCGAUAGGUCUUCUGGCAAGGUGGUGAGUUGGAGCACUUUCUGUCAUUCCACCUGCCUUCAAUCUGCCCUGUCUCCAGCAGAGGGAGAUGUUUCCUCGCCCCAGGUACCCCCCAACCUCUCCUUGGUUCCCCCAACCUAUCAUGACCUAGGAGAGGUGUUUAGUAAGUGUUGUGCGCUCACUCUGCCUCCUCAUCGCCCCUAUGACUGCCCCAUUGAACUCCUCCCCGGCGCACCUUUGCCCAGUAGUCACCUGUAUAACUUGUCCCGUCCUGAGAGGGAGGCCAUGGAGAAGUACAUCAGAGAGUCUCUUUCGGCCGGCCUCAUAAGACCAUCCUUUUCUCCUGUUGGUGCAGGUUUCUUUUUUGUCUCCAAAAAGGACAAGUCUCUUCGUCCAUGCAUCGACUUCAGGGGACUCAACAACAUCACAAUCAAGAACAAGUAUGCCCUACCCCUCAUCAGUUCCGCAUUCGAGCCACUGCAGGGCGCUACAGUCUUCUCAAAAUUGGACCUACGCAAUGCCUACCACCUGGUGCGUAUCCGUGAAGGGGAUGAGUGGAAGAUUGCUUUUAACACCCCCCUCGGCCACCUUGAAUACCUUGUCAUGCCCUUCGGUCUCACUAAUGCCCCUGCCGUGUUCCAGAACCUUGUAAACGACGUCCUCCGGGACUUUCUCAAACCGCUCAGUUUUUGUCUAUUUAGACGACAUACUUAUUUUUUCUCGUAACCAGGAGGAGCACUGCCAGCAUGUCCGACAAGUUCUUCAGCGGCUGUUGGAGAACAAACUAUAUGUGAAGGCCGAGAAGUGCGAGUUCAGCCUCUGUAUCCUUCCUUGGGUUCAUCAUAGAGAGCGGACAAGUGAGGACCUGUCCUGAGAAGGUCAGUGCUGUGACAGACUGGCCCAUUCCAAAUUCUCGCAAGAAACUGCAGCAUUUUCUUGGGUUUGCAAAUUUCUACCGGAGGUUCAUCCGUAAUUACAGUAGGGUUGUCUCACCUCUCCUGCCCUCCCAUUUGCCUGGACACCUGGGGCGGAGACUGCCUUUUCUGACCUCAAAAGACUUUUCUCGUCUGCCCCCAUUCUCAUCCAACCUGACCCCUCCAGGCAAUUCAUCGUGGAGGUCGAUGCGUCUGACACGGGGAUGGGGGCGGUCCUGUCCCAGCGCUCUGCCUCUGACGAAAAGAUUCACCCCUGCGCGUUUUUCUCUCGCCGGCUUGUACCUGCUGAGCGCAACUAUGAUGUGGGUUACAGAGAGCUGCUGGCUGUGAAACUGGCGUUGGAGGAAUGGCGACACUGGCUUGAGGGGGCAGAACAACCGUUUGUGGUUUGGACCGACCACAAGAACUUGUCCUACAUCCAGACAGCGAAGCGCCUUAAUUCCCGACAAGCCCGAUGGUCCCUGUUUUUUGGGCGCUUUAAUUUCACCCUCACCUACCGUCCCGGUUCCUGUAACGUCAAACCUGACACCCUCUCUCGUCAGUUCAACACUGAGAACGCACCGGCCCCCCCUGACACUAUCCUCUCUACUUCCUGCCUCAAGAUCGCUGCCGUCACCUGGAAGAUCAAGUCCCUGAUCCGGGAGGCCCAAGUCACUGAACCAGGUCCAGGUAACGGUCCUCCUAACCGUCUCUUCGUCCCCAGUGCGGUUCGCUCCCAAGUCCUGGUGUGGGGCCACACAUCGCGCUUUGCCUGUCACCCUGGUGGGGUCCGCACCCUGUCCCUCCUGAAGAGGAACUUUUGGUGGCCAGCGAUGGACGCUGUCGAAAGCAGUUCACUUCAUUGCCGUUCCCAAGCUCCCAACUGCCACCGAGACUGCCCAGCUGCUUGUGCAGCAUGUCGUCCGCCUCCACGGGAUUCCCACUGACCUCGUCUCCGACCGUGGUCCCCAAUUCAUCUCCCAAGUUUGGAAGGCCUUCUGCCGAGCGCUUGGAGCCUCUGUCAGCCUGUCUUCAGGAUACCAGCCACAGACUAAUGGGCAGGCUGAGAGAGCUAACCAGGACCGAGGAACCGCACUUCGUUGUGUGGCUGCGCGCAACCCCUCUGCGUGGAGCGACCAUCUCUCUUGGAUCGAGUAUGCCCACAAUUCCAUGGCCUGUGUGGCCACCGGCAUGUCCCCAUUCGAAUGUUCCCUGGGGUACCAGCCACCCUUGUUUCCCGCCCAGGAGGAUGACAUCUCCGUCCCCUCGGUUCAACACCAUCUCCGCCGUUGCCGCAAGAUGUGGAAGGACGCACGCUCCGCUCUGCUGCGCUCCGCUGAGCUGAACCGGCGCAUUGCCGACCGCCACCGGGCUCCUGCUCCUGCCUAUCGGGUGGGUCAACAGGUGUGGUUGUCCUCCAAGGUUCUCCCCUUACAGACUGGCUCCAAGAAGUUAACCCCUCGUUUUGUUGGCCCUUUCCCUAUUGUUUCGGUCAUCAACCCCUCAGCUGUCACACUCAAGCUGCCUCCAGCCAUGCACGUACACCCCACCUUCCAUGUCUCUCGCCUUAAGCCAGUCUCCGUCUGCUCUCUCUCCCCCCGGCCAUUCCUCCCCGUUUGAUUGUCAAUCACCCAGCUUACACCGUCCGGCUGUUACUGGACAUUCGUCGCCGGGGCAGGGGGCAUCAAUACCUCGUGGAUUGGGAGGGUUAUGGGCCAGAGGAAAGAAGCUGGGUUUUGCGGGGUCUCAUCCUCGACCCCUCCCUCAUCCGUGACUUCCAUCUGGCUCACCCAGAGAGGCCUAGGUCGCCUAGAAGUGUUCCUUGAGGGGAGGGUACUGUUGUGGGGUCAGCAGUCUGCUGUGUUUUCCUCCUCCUGGUCUGCCACUCCUCCUGUCUGUCUCACCUCACACCUGGCUCUCAUCUACAAUCAUGCUCACCUGGUCUUCAUCCCCAAUCAACCCCCUUCAUAAACCCUUGGAUUCCAUGCUGUUCGUACUACGCACUACCGUGGUAACUAUACGUGCCUGGCUCUUGUGUAACUCGCUACCUCGCUCUCUUUCUCAAGUCUCUUGUUGUUUUUGGACCACAUCUAAUUUUUGUUCCUCUGCCUGCAGUUACCCAGAUCACUCACUCCAGCUCGCCCACCUCGCUCUUACCCCGGCUCCCUCAUCCACUACCUGCUUCCCACCUUCCCACCUUUUUAUCCCUUCAACAUCGUCUCUGUCUGCUCUUGGGUUCAGCAUCGUCUACCAUAACAUUAGUUGCUUAAAUAAAUAAUUGCAUGCAAAAAAACAUGCAUGAAUGAAUGCAUGUAUCUUUCCUGCUGUCGGCUCCCAGACCGUAGUCGAGGAGCACAGGGGAGACGUUCUUUCCUGUAGUUGGUCUCCUUAUAGGUCGGAAUAUGGUCAGAAUGAAGCGGCCAUCGCGUAUUUAGAAAUACCGAAGGCGUGAUUUUAAAUACCAUCAAAAAUUCAAUGUCAACUCUACUAAACUUUUUUCCGACAUCUUAUGAAUAACAUUUUCAUUUUGUUAAUAUGUAUUUUGGCCUAAGUUUUGAGGCAGGAUAUAUAAUUAAAAAUCAAAAUAAAGUAUUUGCUGUUGCAAUGGUGUUGAGGGUGAAAUAGGUUUGCAUGCUAAUGAUUAGUGGCUGGCCGGGGAGGUGAAUUACAGAGUACUGUUACGUAUUUUAAGUACAUAAGCUGCUCCCACAUAGCCAUUAGGAAGCAGGAUCGAACACACAAGCUGCAUUACCCUCACAUAGCCACUAGGAAGCAGGAUCGAACACUUAAGCUGCAAUAACUACUCCAGCCACAGAUGGCAGCACCUUUAGACAGGGGCGGAGCCAUUACGUCACCCGGCCACGCCCUCUUCACAUAGGCCACGCCCACUUGACGGUAAAAAGCACGUGUUUGAGUUGGAGAAGGCAGAGACUAUAGGUAACCGCGGAGAGAACCGGGCUUAAGCCCGGGGCUUGAAGCUCACGAUAUUGUCCCUCACACGCAUUAGAUACAAUUCCCUCCCUUAAGCUUCAUAGUUACCAUACCGAAACAUGCCUACUUUAACAAAUAAAGUGAGUUAAAAGCGACCAAGGAUUGGACCACUUUCUUCCAGAAAUAACGCAAGAGUACCCUACCCUAAACAAUAGCCUAACUAAAGCGUGAGUACUCCGGAUACGUCUCCAGUUACGAAAUGUCCGUAAUGGAUUACAAUUGCUGUUAGUAGUGUGUCCCG
ensembl:lncRNA